rnacentral:rRNA from 1 species
CCUACGGGUGGCUGCAGUGGGGAAUAUUGGACAAUGGGGGCAACCCUGAUCCAGCCAUGCCGCGUGUGUGAAGAAGGCCCUCGGGUUGUAAAGCACUUUCAGUGAGGAAGAACGCCUGGUGGUUAAUACCCAUCAGGAAAGACAUCACUCACAGAAGAAGCACCGGCUAACUCCGUGCCAGCAGCCGCGGUAAUACGGAGGGUGCGAGCGUUAAUCGGAAUUACUGGGCGUAAAGCGCGCGUAGGUGGCUUGAUAGCCGGUUGUGAAAGCCCCGGGCUCAACCUGGGAACGGCAUCCGGAACUGUCAAGCUAGAGUGCAGGAGAGGAAGGUAGAAUUCCCGGAGUAGCGGUGAAAUGCGUAGAGAUCGGGAGGAAUACCAGUGGCGAAGGCGGCCUUCUGGACUGACACUGACACUGAGGUGCGAAAGCGUGGGUAGCAAACAGGAUUAGAUACCCGAGUAGUC